UUAAGUGAAUAAGGGCGCACGGUGGAUGCCUUGGCACUAGGAGCCGAUGAAGGACGGGACUAACACCGAUAUGCUUUGGGGAGCUGUAAGUAAGCUAUGAUCCAGAGAUUUCCGAAUGGGGGAACCCAAUAUCUUUUAUAGGAUAUUACUUUUCAGUGAAUACAUAGCUGAUUAGAGGUAGACGCAGAGAACUGAAACAUCUUAGUACCUGCAGGAAGAGAAAGAAAAUUCGAUUCCCUGAGUAGCGGCGAGCGAAACGGGAAGAGCCCAAACCAACAAGCUUGCUUGUUGGGGUUGUAGGACUCCAAUAUGGUAGUCUGUUAGUAUAGUUGAAGGAUUUGGAAAAUUCCGCUAAAGAGGGUGAAAGCCCCGUAGACGAAAUGCUGACAACACCUAGGAGGAUCCUGAGUACGGCGGAACACGAGAAAUUCCGUCGGAAUCCGCGGGGACCAUCCCGCAAGGCUAAAUACUCCCUAGUGACCGAUAGUGAACCAGUACCGUGAGGGAAAGGUGAAAAGCACCCCGGAAGGGGAGUGAAAUAGAUCCUGAAACCGUGUGCCUACAACAAGUCAAAGCUCGUUAAUGAGUGAUGGCGUGCCUUUUGUAGAAUGAACCGGCGAGUUACGAUUGCAUGCGAGGUUAAGUCGAAGAGACGGAGCCGCAGCGAAAGCGAGUCUGAAUAGGGCGAAUGAGUAUGUAGUCGUAGACCCGAAACCAUGUGAUCUACCCAUGUCCAGGUUGAAGGUGCGGUAAAACGCACUGGAGGACCGAACCCACGUACGUUGAAAAGUGCGGGGAUGAGGUGUGGGUAGCGGAGAAAUUCCAAACGAACUUGGAGAUAGCUGGUUCUCUCCGAAAUAGCUUUAGGGCUAGCCUCGGAAUUGAGAAUGAUGGAGGUAGAGCACUGUUUGGACUAGGGGCCCAUCUCGGGUUACCGAAUUCAGAUAAACUCCGAAUGCCAUUCAUUUAUAUCCGGGAGUCAGACUGCGAGUGAUAAGAUCCGUAGUCGAAAGGGAAACAGCCCAGACCACCAGCUAAGGUCCCAAAAUAUAUGUUAAGUGGAAAAGGAUGUGGGGUUGCACAGACAACUAGGAUGUUGGCUUAGAAGCAGCCACCAUUUAAAGAGUGCGUAAUAGCUCACUAGUCGAGUGACCCUGCGCCGAAAAUGUACCGGGGCUAAACAUAUUACCGAAGCUGUGGACUACACCAUUAGGUGUAGUGGUAGGAGAGCGUUCUAAGGGCGUUGAAGGUCGAUCGUGAGGACGGCUGGAGCGCUUAGAAGUGAGAAUGCCGGUAUGAGUAGCGAAAGACAGGUGAGAAUCCUGUCCACCGUAUGACUAAGGUUUCCUGGGGAAGGCUCGUCCGCCCAGGGUUAGUCGGGACCUAAGCCGAGGCCGAUAGGCGUAGGCGAUGGACAACAGGUUGAUAUUCCUGUACCAGUUGUUUUUGUUUGAGCAAUGGAGGGACGCAGUAGGCUAAGGAAUGCAUGCGAUUGGAAGUGCAUGUCCAAGCAAUGAGUCUUGAGUAGAGUUAAAUGCUUUACUCUUUAAGGACAAGUUGUGACGGGGAGCGAAAUAAUAGUAGCGAAGUUCCUGAUGUCACACUGCCAAGAAAAGCUUCUAGUGAGAAAACAACUGCCCGUACCGUAAACCGACACAGGUAGUCGAGGAGAGUAUCCUAAGGUGAGCGAGCGAACUCUCGUUAAGGAACUCGGCAAAAUGACCCCGUAACUUCGGGAGAAGGGGUGCUGACUUCGGUCAGCCGCAGUGAAUAGGCCCAAGCGACUGUUUAUCAAAAACACAGGUCUCUGCAAAAUCGUAAGAUGAAGUAUAGGGGCUGACGCCUGCCCGGUGCUGGAAGGUUAAGAGGAUGGGUUAGCUUCGGCGAAGCUCAGAAUUGAAGCCCCAGUAAACGGCGGCCGUAACUAUAACGGUCCUAAGGUAGCGAAAUUCCUUGUCGGGUAAGUUCCG
rnacentral:rRNA from 1 species